rnacentral:rRNA from 1 species
AGUUUGAUCAUGGCUCUACUGAACGCUGGCGGGAUGCUUUACACAUGCAAGUCGAACGGCAGCACGGACUUCUGGUCUGGUGGCGAGUGGCGAACGGUGAGUAAUGUAUCGGAACGCCUAGUAGCGGGGGAUAACUACGCGAAAGCGUAGCUAAUACCGCAUACGCCCUUCGGGUGGCGCUGGGGACCUUCGGGCCUCGCACUAGAGCGGCCGAUAUCGGAUUAGCUAGUUGGUGGGGUAACGGCUCACCAAGGCGACGAUCCGUGGCUGGUUUCCGAGAGGACGACCAGCCACACUGGGACUGAGACACGGCCCAGACUCCUACGGGAGGCAGCAGGUAACUUGGACAAUGGGAAACCCCGAUCCAGCCAUCCUGGCGUGUGCGAUGAAGGCCUUCGGGUUAAAGCACUUUUGGCAGGAAGGAAACGGCACGGAGCACGUCUCGUGCAACUGACGGUACCUGCAGAAUAGCGCACCGGCCAACUACGUGCCAGCAGCCGCGGUAAUACGUAGGGUGCAAGCGUUAAUCGGAAUUACUGGGCGUAAAGCGUGCGCAGGCGGUUCGGAAAGAAAGAUGUGAAAUCCCAGAGCUUAACUUUGGAACUGCAUUUUUAACUACCGAGCUAGAGUGUGUCAGGAGUGAGGUGGGGAAUUCCGCGUAGCAGCAGUCGCGUAGAUAUGCGGAGGAACACCGAUGGCGAAGGCAGCCUCCUAGGAUAACACUGACGCUCAUGCACGAAAGCGUGGGGAGCAAACAGGACUAGAUACCCUGGUAGUCCACGCCCUAAACGAUGUCAACUAGGCUGUUGGGGCCUUCGCCUUGGUAGCGCAGCUAACGUGAAGUGACCGCCUGGGGAGCAUGGUCGCAAGAUUGAAACUCAAAAGGAAUUGACGGGGACCCGCACAAGCGGUGGAUGAUGGGAUUAACUGGAUGAUGCAACGCGAAAAACCUUACCUACCCUUGACAUGUCUGGAAUCCCGAAGAGAUUUGGGAGUGCUCGCAGAGAACCGGAACACAGGUGCUGCAUGGCUGUCGUCAGCUCGUGUCGUGAGAGAGCGGGUUAAGUCCCCCUAACGAGCAACCUCUUGUCAUUAGUUGCUACGAAAGGGCACUCUAUCGAGAUCGCCGGUGACAAACCGGGAGGAAGGUGGGAUGACGUCAAGUCCUCAUGGCCUCUAUGGGUAGGGCUUCAGCACGUCAUACAAUGGUCGGGACAGAGGGUCGCCAACCCCGCGAGGGGGAGCCAAUCCCAGAAACCCGAUCGUAGUCCGGAUUGCAGUCUGCAACCUUGAUCGCAGCAAAGCUGGAAUCGCUAGUAAUCGCGGAUCAGCAUGUCGCGGUGAAUACGUUCGGCCCGUACACACCGCCCGUCACACCAUGGGAGUAAGGGGUUUUACCAGAAGUAGUUAGCCUAACCGUAAGGAGGGGGCGGAUUACCACGGUAGGAUUCAUGACUGGGGUGAAGUCGUAACAAGGUAA